rnacentral:rRNA from 1 species
GACGAACGCUGGCGGCGUGCUUAACACAUGCAAGUCGAACGGAAAGGCCCUUCGGGGUACUCGAGUGGCGAACGGGUGAGUAACACGUGAGUAACCUGCCCUGGACUCUGGGAUAACCCCGAGAAAUCGGAGCUAAUACCGGAUAGGACCUUUCCUCGCAUUAGGUGGGGUGGAAAGUGUUUUCGGUUUGGGAUGGACUCGCGGCCUAUCAGCUUGUUGGUGAGGUAAUGGCUCACCAAGGCGUCGACGGGUAGCCGGCCUGAGAGGGUGACCGGCCACACUGGGACUGAGACACGGCCCAGACUCCUACGGGAGGCAGCAGUGGGGAAUAUUGCACAAUGGGCGCAAGCCUGAUGCAGCAACGCCGCGUGCGGGAUGACGGCCUUCGGGUUGUAAACCGCUUUUAGUAGGGAAGAAGCCUCUUGGGGUGACGGUACCUGCAGAAAAAGGACCGGCUAACUACGUGCCAGCAGCCGCCGCAGUAA